rnacentral:lncRNA from 1 species
GUUUCACUGCUUCCUACUCCUAAUCUCUCACUUUUCCUCAAACCUUUUCUACUUUAUUUAUGUCUUUACUCCAUCACCUUUUUCUUUUAUUCUGUUUUGGAUAACUUAAUAGGUUCAGAAAGUCAAAUUUAUACAUCUUUCAUAAAAGUUUAUACAACCUAUUCAAUAUGUUUUUUGAUGGUUUGGACAUUAAUCCUCUAAAACUGUCGAUUUCUUUAAAUUCCUUCCCCUCCCUUUUUAAUGAAGAAUCCUAUAUCCCCUAAUCCUAUCCACAAUCCCAACCCCCAAUCCAACCCCCCCUGCUCCUCCUCCUUCUCACCUCCCUCUCCCUCCUCCUCAUCGUCGUUGUUUCGACGACUACUUGAGAUACCCUCUUAGCCUUCAAAUUCUCAUUACCAAACCAAUAUCUCCUCCCCAACUGGCUUCUUAAUCAAAACCCAUACUCUUUCACUGGCUCUUAUGUUCAUCUCCUUUCAACGCUUUAUUCUCCAUAUACCUAAAAUUCAUCCUUUUGAGCACCAUGAAUUUCACCUCCAUAUUAUCAAUCGCAUCCUUCCAAUCCUUAUCCCUCCGUUCUUCCAACCUCAAUCGAGUUGUCGGUGUCUUUUCUCCUCUGUUUCAAACGAGCUAGAUCUCUUUGGAAUUACAUUUCUGGCUCUCUCCUCUGUUUUAACCUUGCUCAAAUCUAAAAUUUUUAAACCUCUCAAACAACUCCUUUGGUCCGGACCUAAAAUUUUCCUCCAUUGAUUCACUUGAAACAGUUGAUCUCUCGUGAAAUGGAGGUAUCUGGUUCAAUUUCAUCAAAAAAGACCUAGCUGAAUCAAAGAUGGAAUAGUUAUCUCCUUUGGUCAUCUACUACAUUUUCAGAGGAAAAAUAGCCAAAGAACCAUCACUUUCAGGUGUUUUAACCCCUAAAUCGAAAAGCUGGAAGCGACCACGUUCGUCGGACUGAAUCUCGUCGGGAACUCGUACCCCAAUCCCUCGACGGCGGAACCAAGCUCCUCUUUUAACCCCCUAAGUCACCUAACUCGUUGCAUCAUGCAAAGGAAGAACAUUCAGAAUUUUAAAAUUUAUUUUCAGUUUUAUUGCAACCUUUUUUGUUAUAGUUUAAUUAAAUAAUAUUAUUUGUAUGAUGUGGAGCCUUUGUGAAAAAUAUGUCAAUGACCACUUCAUCACUGUUAAGUUUGACCGUUAAUUUAAUGAUCAAAUUAAAAUUUGGUGUCACAAAAAAUAUUUCGAAUAGAUUAUACCAACUUUUGUGAAAGGCCAAUAAAUUGGACUUUCUUGAGUCCAUUUUUCCUUCUCUUAAGAAGAAAGGUAAAUCAUAUUUGUCUUAUUGUUUCUUCACUUCUAAAUGAAACCCCUCUUUAUAAGUAGAGCAAUGUUUUGUGAUUUGGAUUGUAGCUUUGCAUAUGGGAAGAUCGGAGUAUAAUAUUCAUUUUGGAGAAUAAUGUGGAAGUACGCAAUUAUCUAAUGUAAAUGAUGGAGACCUUGACUAAACAUCUGUGCAAUCUUAGUAGAGACCCAAAACAACUUGCAGUAAAAUUAAUCGUACGAAAGUAAUGGAGCAUCGGAAAAAAACAAGAGAAAUAUCAGAUGAAGAAGAAUACCUAUUGAAAUUGGUGGCGACUUAAGAC